AAAUAGGUAGGGGAGCGUUCCGUUAUCGGGUGAAGUUUUCACGUAAGUGAUUAUGGACGAAUCGGAAGUGAGAAUGUUGGCUUGAGUAACGAAAACAUUGGUGAGAAUCCAAUGCCCCGAAAACCUAAGGGUUCCUCCACUAGGCUCGUCCAUGGGGGGUUAGUCAGGUCCUAAGGCUAGUUAGAUUUAUCUAAGUCGUCGAUGGAAAACAGGUUAAUAUUCCUGUACUGGUUUUAUUGGGAACCAAGGGACGAAGGAGACUAAACUGAAACUGCUACUGGAUUUCAGUGGAAGCAUUCAAGGUGUUGAUAGCUAGAAUAAAAACUAUGCUUGAGCUGAGAUGUGAUCCCUAUACUAUACAAGUUAUAGUGUAGUCAGUGAUGUCAAACUUCCAAGAAAAGCUUGAACACCAUAACAAUAAAAUCACCUGUACCUGAAACCGACACAGGUAGGUUGGUAGAGAAUACCAAGGGGCGCGAGAGAACUCUCUCUAAGGAACUCGGCAAACUGGCCCCGUAACUUCGGAAGAAGGGGCACCCUCUUUCUUUUAAUCAUAAAAGAGGGUCGCAGUGACCAGGCUCUGGGAACUGUUUAUCAAAAACACAGGUCUCCGCAAAGUCGUAAGACGAUAUAUGGGGGCUGACGCCUGCCCAGUGCCGGAAGGUUAAGGAAGUUGGUUAUUAAGUAAUUAAGAAGCUGACGACCGAAGCCCCGGUGAACGGCGGUCGUAACUAUAACGAUCCUAAGGUAGCGAAAUUCAUUGCCAAGUAAGUUUUGGCCUGCACGAAAGGCGUAAUCAUCAGAGCGCUGUCUCGGAGAGAGACUCGGUGAAAUAGACUUGUCCCGUGAAGAUGCGGACUACCUAUACCUGGACAGAAAGACCCUAUGAAGCUUGACUGUAUCCUGGAAUUGGGUUCGGGCUUUUCUUGCGCAGCCUAGGUGGGAGGCUAUGAAGGUUCCCUUCCGGGGGAAUUUGAGCCAUCAUUGAGAGACCACUCUGGAAGAGCUAGAAUCCUAAUGGUGAUCUUUGAAUCAAGACACUUGACAGUUUCAGGUGGGCAGUUUAUCUGGGGCGGAUGCCUCCUAAAGUGUAACGGAGGCGUGCAAAGGUUCUCUCAGUCUGGACGGAAAUCAGACAUUGAGUGCAAAGGCAAAAGAGAGCUUGACUGUAAGACCAACAAGUCGAGCAGGGGCGAAAGCCGGCCUUAGUGAUCCGACGGUGCCGUGUGGAAGGGCCGUCGCUCAACGGAUAAAAGUUACUCUAGGGAUAACAGGCUGAUCUUCCCCAAGAGUUCACAUCGACGGGAAGGUUUGGCACCUCGAUGUCGGUUCAUCACAUCCUGGAGCGGCAGUACGUUCCAAGGGUUGGGCUGUUCGCCCAUUAAAGUGGUACGUGAGCUGGGUUCAAAACGUCGUGAGACAGUUUGGUCCAUAUCCGGUAUAGGCGUUAGAGCAUUGAGAGGAGCCUUCGAUAGUACGAGAGGAUUUUCGAAAGGUAAGCCAAUAGUGUAUCGGUUAUUUUUCCAAAAGUAAACGCCGAGUAGCCACGCUUAUAGGGAUAACUGCUGAAAGCAUCUAAGUAGGAAACCCACCUCAAGAUGAGUGCUCUCCAUUAGGUCGCGGCAAGACAAGCCGUUUAAUAGGCAUUAGGUGUACAAUCAGUAAUGGUUUUAGCCGAGAUGUACUAAAGACCGAUUGAUUUUGAC
rnacentral:rRNA from 1 species